GCGGAGGAGGGAAGGUUGCUCCUGGAUUCAGCGGCGGACGGCUGAGUAAUGCCUCAGGAAUCUGCCUGGUAGUGGCGGAUAACGUCCGGAAACGGGCGCUAAUACCGCAUACGUCCUGAGGGAGAAAGUGGGGGAUCUUCGGACCUCCACGCUAUCAGAUGAGCCUUAGGUCGGAUUAGCUAGUUGGUGGGGUAAAGGCCUCACCAAGGCGACGAUUCCGUAACUGGUCUGAGAGGAUGAUCAGUCACACUGGAACAUGAGACACGGUUCCAGACUCCUUACGGGAGGCAGCAGUGGGGAAUAUUGGACAAUGGGCGAAAGCCUGAUCCAGCCAUGCCGCGUGUGUGAAGAAGGUCUUCGGAUUGUAAAGCACUUUAAGUUGGGAGGAAGGGCAGUAAGUUAAUACCUUGCUGUUUUGACGUUACCAACAGAAUAAGCACCGGCUAACUUCGUGCCAGCAGCCGCGGUAAUACGAAGGGUGCAAGCGUUAAUCGGAAUUACUGGGCGUAAAGCGCGCGUAGGUGGUUCAGCAAGUUGGAUGUGAAAUCCCCGGGCUCAACCUGGGAACUGCAUCCAAAACUACUGAGCUAGAGUACGGUAGAGGGUGGUGGAAUUUCCUGUGUAGCGGUGAAAUGCGUAGAUAUAGGAAGGAACACCAGUGGCGAAGGCGACCACCUGGACUGAUACUGACACUGAGGUGCGAAAGCGUGGCGAGCAAACAGGAUUAGAUACCCUGGUAGUCCACGCCGUAAACGAUGUCGACUAGCCGUUGGGAUCCUUGAGAUCUUAGUGGCGCAGCUAACGCGAUAAGUCGACCGCCUGGGGAGUACGGCCGCAAGGUUAAAACUCAAAUGAAUUGACGGGGGCCCGCACAAGCGGUGGAGCCAUGUGGUUUAAUUCGAAGCAACGCGAAGAACCUUACCUGGCCUUGACAUGCUGAGAACUUUCCAGAGAUGGAUUGGUGCCUUCGGGAACUCAGACACAGGUGCUGCAUGGCUGUCGUCAGCUCGUGUCGUGAGAUGUUGGGUUAAGUCCCGUAACGAGCGCAACCCUUGUCCUUAGUUACCAGCACCUCGGGUGGGCACUCUAAGGAGACUGCCGGUGACAAACCGGAGGAAGGUGGGCGAUGACGUCCAAGUCAUCAUGGCCCUUACGGCCAGGGCUACACACGUGCUACAAUGGUCGGUACAAUGCGUUGCCAAGCCGC
rnacentral:rRNA from 1 species